GAGACAUAAGAAUUCUAGGAUCCGUACGAUAAAAAAUUAUUUCUAAAAAUACUUUAAAAUCAUAACGUUUUUUUUUUUAUUGCUUAUAUGGGUGGACGAGCUUCACGCCCACCCACCUGCUGUAAGUGGUUACUGGAGCCCAUAGACAUCUACAACGUAAAUGCGCCACCCAUCUUGAGAUAUAAGUUCUAAGGUUCUAAAGUCCACGCCCCUCGGCGUAACAGUGAGGGGCUCUAAUUACUGCACCACCGAGUCAGGCAGUAAAUAAUGCUCAGACUUGAUAAGUCGUACUUUUAAUCGAGUCAGCCGCGCCAAGGCUUACUCAUGCAUAGGACACAAUAAUAGAAAUAACCUACGCCCAGCAGAAACAAGAAUUUCGGGAGUCACUAUUAUGCACUGUGGUUCCAGGAAUUCGGCUACGGAAGCCGCUGUUAUAAAAGCUGUGAAAACAAAAUUUGUCGGCGCAUGAAAGGCUUACUCCAGUAAUAUUGCAUGGUGCAACGCGGUCAACGGGCUGGGACCGACUGACCUGCCACGAGAGGUCACCAGGUUUCAUCGCUGCUUCGCCGACAGAGCUGCGCAAAUUGUUAAUUACAUCCAGUCUGACUCGCCACACGUCGUUUCUCACUCGCAUCUAAAACGUUUACAAAACAAAUGUAAAUUAUCUAGCCAAAGCUUAAACAAUUGUCACUAAAACAACGUGUUCCAAAUAGACUAUCAAAGAAGUUGUUUAAUUGAAUUUAAUAUUCAUAAACUACUAACUGUCAUCGAUUACUUUUUUUUUAUUGCCCUUGAAGGCUGACGAGCAUACGGCCCACCUGAUGGUGAGUGGUUACCGUCGCCCAUGGACUUCAGCAAUGCCAGGAGCAGAGCCAAGCCGCUGCCUACCGCUAAAACUUUACUUAACCAUACAUUAAAUUCAAUUGAAUACAAUAAAUGUUUAAAUUUAAUAGUAAUAAAGAUGUUAAGAAGCUC